rnacentral:rRNA from 1 species
CUUGUACACACCGCCCGUCACACCAUGGGAGUUGGCUUUACCUGAAGACGGUGCGCUAACCCGCAAGGGAGGCAGCCGGCCACGGUAGGGUCAGCGACUGGGGGGAAGUCGAAACAGGGUAGCCGUAGGGGAACCGGCGGCUGGAUCCCCUCUUUU